ACCAGCACCAGCACCAGCACCAGCACCAGAUCUUUUUGAAGCAGCGAUGAGCCAGGUGAAAGAGACUUCAAAGUCCUUUACAUCUCUUCUCUUGUCCCUCAUGCGCACUGCCCACUGGGACAUUGCUGCUGCUGUCCGCUCCAUUGAAGCCGCUGCUGCGACCACUGAAAAUAACGCUAUCAACAACCACACUACCGCCAUCGCCACCACCAUUGUAACCCACCACGCCAAGUAUGCUCUGGAGUCCUAUAUUUCUCAAAAAAUCUUCCAGGGCUUCGACCACGAGACCUUCUACAUGGAUGGUAGCCUCUCCUCGCUUCUAAAUCCAGACCAGUUCCGCCGUGACUGCUUUACUCAGUACCGAGACAUGAAGGCCAUGGACCCAAUUGAGCUUCUAGGAAUCUUGCCAACUUGUCACUUUGGGAAAUUCUGCUUCAGAAAGUAUGUUGCCAUAGUUCAUCCAAAAAUGGAGGAGUCCUUGUUUGGAAACUUGGAGCAACGCCAGCAAGUAUUGGCUGGGAGCCAUCCGAGGAGGCAGUUUUAUGGUGAGUUCUUGGGGCUGGCCAAAGCCAUUUGGUUGCUUCACUUGCUGGCAUUCUCGCUCGACCCUGCACCAAGUCAGUUUGAGGCAAGUAGGGGAGCUGAGUUUCAUCCACAAUAUAUGGAGAGUGUAGUGAAAUUUUCUGGUGGCCGAAUUCCAGGCGGUCAGACUGUGGGGUUCCCUGUCAGUCCUGGGUUCAAGCUUGGAAAUGGAUCAGUUAUCAAGGCUAGGGUUUAUCUAGUUCCCAGGACAUGAAUUGUUUCAGUUCCGGUUGAUAAAUGUAAUUUCCGUGCUGUAGGAUGUAAUGGGUUGAUUGGUUAGUUUAAACUUUUCUUCUCUCAAGAAAACUUGGAAGAGAUUCUAUGAGAGAAAUAGUUUGCUAGUGUUCCUAGGAAAUAGGUGGUUUACUGAUGCUAAGUCGUGUUAUGAUGGUGUGUCGUUUUGAAUGAGAAUUCCUUGGGCUGUUUGGAACAUGCUAUACAUGCAACAAGUUUUUCUCAAAAAAUCUCUUCCAAGUUUUCUUGAGAGAAGA
rnacentral:misc_RNA from 1 species